UUCCGAGCACUUUGUGGCCAUAUUAGAGUAAAACAAACGGGAGGCGAGUUGAAAAUAAUGGACAAAGCUCGUCAGGGCCGCUGCGACUCAAAACCCGCAACUUCCUCCGAUGAGCCCCUUCCCAGUUCUCGUUUCAUGCAAUUUUUUUACCAUUGUGUUCACCAUUCUGUUUUCUGCAGGUUCACCGAAGGAGGAAUCCCAGCCACGAAUGAAAACUGACAGAAUCACCACACCCGAAAAUUCCACCACCGGUAGGUUUUAGUUUCUUGAUUUUUUGGGCCAACCAAGGCUCUCUAACGUAUUUUUUUGCAUGGAUAUGUGUAAAUUCGGCUAAAACUAGCUAAAAACAGCGAGGCCGAGGCAAACCGCUGCCGCAGGUGGCGGCGCUGUCACUAGAGCACACCACCAUCGUCGUGCCGGAAUCCUGAAAUAGGUCGGAAGGAAUUUUUAACACUGAUUUUGGAUUUUUUUGAGGUAUUUUUUUAGGUAUGUGAAGCGUGUUUAAUCUCCACAGAAAAAUUUAGGAAAUCCAGGGGCCACUAGGAGCCGCAGCAAAAAGUACGAUAUUUCAGACACCGAUUCGGGUAAGAAUUCAUUACCCUAUUUCUUGUUAUGGAAUUGAAGCUUAAUAAU
rnacentral:lncRNA from 1 species